rnacentral:rRNA from 1 species
UACGUAGGGUGCGAGCGUUGUCCGGAAUUAUUGGGCGUAAAGAGCUCGUAGGCGGUCUGUCGCGUCUGCUGUGAAAACUCGGGGCUUAACCCCGAGCCUGCAGUGGGUACGGGCAGACUAGAGUGUGGUAGGGGAGACUGGAAUUCCUGGUGUAGCGGUGGAAUGCGCAGAUAUCAGGAGGAACACCGAUGGCGAAGGCAGGUCUCUGGGCCACAACUGACGCUGAGGAGCGAAAGCGUGGGGAGCGAACAGG